rnacentral:lncRNA from 1 species
UUGGGGAGUAAUGGUUUGCCCCAUGACCUCUCUUGCCAUAAGAAUCUAAAAGAACUGUUUGGUUUUUAGUUUGGUUAGCCUUCUCCUUGUUGUUAGGAUGAAGUGCUGACUCCCAAGCUUCGUGCUUGCUGGACUGGAAAUUGGAAGUCUGCCUGCCAGUUUUAAGAACCUAAAAAGUGAUGAACUGAAAAUGUCAGGCUGAGCUGACCAGCGCUUAUCCUCAUGUGACCUUGGGUGAAUUAAUGGACAUCUCUGAACCUCCAUUUUCUCCUGUGUAAAAUAGCAGCUGCAGCAAAAAUGAAAUAUCAAUAAUCUCUGAAAAGAAUUUAGCUCAGUGUUUGGUGAAGAUUGCCUCUCCUGAAGUCUAGAAAAGGGCUGGUUUGGUUGGAAGGCUGUGCCACGUGGCAAGAAGAGAAUAAACAUCUUGGGAAUUCUGGCUGUGCUGUACAUUUGCUGUGUGGCCUUCGGCAAGCUACUGACUUCUCUGAACUCAGGAUCUACAAACUGAGGAUAAGCAACAGGAGAAUCUCUGUGAAGUACUUUAAAAACAGGAGAUG